CAGUAGCCGCGGUAAUACGGAGGGGGCUAGCGUUGUUCGGAAUUAUUGGGCGUAAAGGGUGCGUAGGCGGUUCAGCAAGUCUCGUGUGAAAUCUUCGGGCUCAACCCGAAGUCUGCACGGGAAACUACUGGGCUUGAGUAAUGGAGAGGUGAGUGGAAUUUCCGGUGUAGCGGUGAAAUGCGUAGAUAUCGGAAGGAACACCUGUGGCGAAAGCGGCUCACUGGACAUUUACUGACGCUGAUGCACGAAAGCUAGGGGAGCAAACAGGAUUAGAUACCCCUGUAGUCCCUGUCUCUUAUAA
rnacentral:rRNA from 1 species